AGUCCUGCCCAGGGCCAGUGGAGAACACCAGGUUACAGGACACAGCUCGCGUAACCCUUCCAUAGCUUUCCUUGUUCAAGCCUAACAACAACCCUAUGGGGUAGCGUGGUACUAUAUUCAGCACUUUCCAGGAAAAGAAAAGGAAACUAGGAAAGUUUUCAAUUGUAGUUUGAAAAAGAUCACCCAGUGACUGAUCUGGACCAGCUCUGCCUGGCUCAUAACCCUACCUAGAUCCUUCACUGCCUACAACCUCUUAUUUAUUCAUUAAAAAAAAAUUUUUUUUAACAUUUAUUAUCGAGAAACAGACAAAGACAGAGCAUGAGCACGGGAGGGGCACAGAGAGGAGACACAGAAUCCAAAGCAGGAUCCAGACUCUGAACUGUCAGCAUAGAGCCCGAGGCGGGCUUGAACUCACUGGGAGACCAUGACCUGAGCAGAAGUCAGACGCUCAAGCGGCUGUGCCCCCCAACCUCUUAUUUAUUUUUAAGCCAAUCACUGAACUCUCCACCCUGCCUGUGUCCCCUCCUUUUCACCCAGCUUUCCUCCUCCCCAGACCUACCUCAUCAGUGCCCAAGCAAUUUGAUUUUCGCUUCCGUCCCGGCUGAGCUGCCACUGCCCUACGGGCGGAUCCAUUCUGCAGGUGAAAUUGUAGGAACGGAAAAGGUGGCUGUGAGAUGAGCGUGAAAGCAGGCCGCCAGAGGGGAGAAGCGAAAAAGAAAACGAGGGUUUGGGGAACUUACCUGAGGAAAAACUGAGGCUGGCGCUGUCUCGCUGGGCACUGGAGUUGCUGGUGAAACCACCUCCACCUUCCGUUUCUGCAGAGAGAAACCAAGAAAGGACAUAGGAAUAGCUACUGGACUCUGGAAGCUACAUCUGCAAUUUGCCCCCCCAUCCUUUGCAAGCUGAAGCCAGAGUGGAAGGGUGUGGACUCCUACCCAUCCAGGAGCCCCUGAGGCCAAGAGAUGAGAAAAGUAGGAGGCAGGAGAAAAAAGGUGAAGCACGGGACCUACUCACCACCUCUCUCUCUGGAGAGCCGGGGCGGGACCCAGGAAGUCCGUUCUUGGUGGGGGUCUUGGCCUCUUUCUUGGGGAACUGGAUCUUCUUUAGGUCCAGCCGCUCGUGGGUCACCCAUUCAUCCAGGCGUUUGUUGACUGUAGCAGUGGGGAUGGCUCAGGAAGGAAUGCCAGAGGCUGCCUCCCAACCCCACCCUGCAGCCCUACCUCACCCCAACCUAGAACUCACAGUCAAUAUAAUGAACGUAGAAAAGCUUGCGGCCACUGAUGUCCUUCACACUCAGGAUCUCGGCCAAGGCUGUGGGAACAGCACAGGCAGGAGCCUUAGACGAGCCAGGCGAUGAGGAUCCACCCUCCUAAGACCUGAUCUCCACCCCCAGACUGGAUCCCCAGCACUUGGAAGCCUUCGCCCAAACCCCUUUUUAGUCACCAAGUGCCGCCCCCUCUCCAGGCCCCGCCCUGUCCGUCUCCGAACGGCUGAGAGCCACGCCCCUCCUGGGUAUCUGCGCCCCGCCCGCCCCAGGAUUACAGAGGCCCCACCCCCUCCCGAGGGUUCGGUUGACUCCCUCCCGCCCCUCGCCCUCAGGUUCCUUAGCCCCGCCUCCCGACGUCACUCACGCCACUCAUCUUCGUUGUCCUGGUUCCGCCGAAGCACGGGCAGGCGGCAGCCCUCGAUUAUCUCCCCCUGGGGAGACAGCGCGGCGCCAGGGUCGGCUACUGGGGGGCCUCGGGUUCUACCCACCUCCCCUGGCUCCCUCCGCCCCGCCCCGGGCACCGGACUCACCACCUCCGCCAUCUUCCCUCCCUCCACUGCCACUUCCGGCCCCAAUGGGAGACGUCACUUCCGGGACCGAUCGCGCUGUAGGCCCGCGCCUCCUGAAGCCGCUUUAGAAGAAGACAUUUAAGAGACACCGCUAUCCAGCUGGAAGCAGGCAGGCGUCCCGUUUGGCUGGCGGGAGAGUGGGGUGUUUUUAAUGAAGGCCUGGGUCCUAGGUGGAAUCCCCGAAAGGCGCACAACGAUUGGAGGAAAGCUGAGUCCGUCACGUGACGCCCACCGGGUGCGACGCCGAUCACGUGGUUACGGCGCGGGUCACGUGGGACUAGUGAAAAUUUUAUCCAUCCGGCUUCUCAGACCAAGAACCUUGAAGUCAUCGGACUUGACUUCUCUCACAUUCAGUCCACCAGCAAAUACUUGAGGCUGUACCACUUCUCUCUGCCUUCACCACUGCCAGCCUGGGGCGAGCUACUGCCAUCGCCUCCCAGAACUGUUGCACAAGCCUCAUACCCAGGAACGAGAGGGAUCGUUUGAAAAUAUAACUCACACCGUGUCACCGUGAUGAUCAGAAUCCACCAGUGGUUCGUCAUUUACUCAGAGUAAAACCCCAAAUCCCUGUAUAAAUCCAGUCCAUUACCAUCUGCCGCUUCUCUCUCCAUUCUCCUCUGCGACUCACUACAUUCUACCCACACGGGCCUCCCUGUGUUUCCAGAACAUAGGAAGUUCCUUUCUCUGGUCCUUUGCUGUUUCUUUCCUGCAACACUUUCUCUCCUUUUAUCCACUUGGCUUAGUCCUCACCUCAUUCAAGCCUUUGCUCACAUGUCACCUUCCCAGUGAGGCCACCUCUGACCUCCUCAGUUAAGCCUGCCCAUCCCCCACCCGCCUCAUCUCCCCGCUCCUUACUUCAUUGUCCUGCAUAGAAUUUUCACCAGCCAUUGAGCCAUAUAUUUUCCUUAUUUACUCAGUACUGUCUUUCCCUCACUAGAAUGUAGGAUCCAUGAACACAGUAUUUGUAUUGUUUUGUCCAGCGCUAUGCUCCUAGCUUCUAGAAUAGUGCCUGGGUUACAGGAGGCAUUCCUUUAAAACCUGUCAAAUGGAUUAAGCACAUGAUUUCUCCAGGGAGCCAGAGAUGCAGACUGACAUUUACUGCAGAGAGUGAUUAGUCUCGUAAGAUGGGAAGGAAACCUAAGCUCAGAGGAGACAGAUCCAGGGAGGGAUCUCAGAGCAUCUGAUGUUUGACCUACAGUUUAGAGGAUGAGCAAGUGUUAGCAAGAGAAGGGACUUGGGGGACAUUCCGGGAAGUGAGGACGGCAACAGCAAAGAAAAAAGGAGAAAAGAAACAGUUGGCGAACAGGGCAUCGGGCAUUCAACAACAUUAAUUGAGCACCACCUGUGUGCCGCAGCCCGCAGGAGCAACUUGCAUGAAAACAGAUGAGGCCCCUAUUCUAGUGGGUUGGACAUGAACAGUUAGCAAAAGAAAAUAAAAAUAAUCCCCUUGGGUAGUGGUAAGUGCAGUGUCGAUGAUAAAACUGUGAUCCGGUGGGGAGUGAGGUGCCGGUCAGUGCGGACCUCUCUAAAGGGCUGUCAGUCAAGAUUGCUAGGCCCCAGAGUCACGCAGUGCCUUUUUUCUUGGUCCGCGUGGCCCCAAAGGCAUGCAGGGCUUCAGGAUGGCUUCGUCUGAGAAAUCGACAUAUCACCAACAACGAAGUUUCUGUCUUUCCACUCCAGCCUCCUCGUGGUUACCUUCCUCCUACAUUAGGGUGGGCUCUUCUCGUGAUCACAGGACAGCUGCCCCCAGCUCUAGGACCUACAUGUGUCCCAGGCCAUGUUCAAGGAGAAAAAUGUCUUCCCCGGCCGUGGGAUUCCCUCAGAGUGAACCGUUAUGGGGCACGUGUCUCUGCCUCAGCCAAUGCCUGUGGCCAGCAGGGAGAGGAAGAAAUGGCCGUUGAGGCAGCCAGGAUGGCCACUGCACGAGAUGACAUGUGACCUGAGACCCGAAUGAAGAGAUAAAUGAAUGAAUAAAGAAGAUGGGGUACAAACAUGCAAUGGAAUAUUACUUAGCCAUGAAAAAGAAUGAAAGCUUGCUAUUUGCAACAACACAGAUAGAGCUAGAGUGUGAUGCUAAGUGAAAUAAGUCAGAGAAAGACAAAUAGCCGUAUGAUUUCACCCGUGGAGUUUAAGA